CCUACGGGUGGCUGCAGUGAGGAAUAUUGGUCAAUGGGCGGAAGCCUGAACCAGCCAAGUAGCGUGCAGGAUGACGGCCCUACGGGUUGUAAACUGCGUUUAUACGGGAAUAAGGCGCCGUACGUGUAGGGCUUUGCAUGUACCGUAUGAAUAAGGACCGGCUAAUUCCGUGCCAGCAGCCGCGGUAAUACGGAAGGUGCGGGCGUUAUCCGGAUUUAUUGGGGUUAAGGGGAGCGUAGGCCGCAUGGCAAGCGUGCUGUGAAAUGUCCGGGCUCAACCCGGGCCUUGCAGCGCGAACGGGCGUGCUUGAGUCCGCUGCAAGCAGGCGGCAUUCGUCGUGUAGCCGU
rnacentral:rRNA from 1 species